GAGGGAACAAUGAAUGGAGCCAAAUAGUGCAAUCAACCUUAGACUGGGGAAGAUGUAUGUUCCAAAAGGACAAGCUAAUAGCCAAAGCAACACUGGAAUGACUUCAGAACAAGAAUGUGAAAGUCCUGGAGUGGCCCAGCCAAAAGUCCAGACAAUCUUUGGAAAGACGAAGAUUGGGGAUCGCAAGUGAACAGCAAUCUAACUUAACAGAGCUUGAGAAAAUCCCCAAAUCCAGAUGUGUAAUGCUGAUGGACAUACCCAAGAUGACACAAAGCUGUAAUCGUCUCCAAAGUCCUUGUGGUAUGGCCAUUCCUCCAGACAAUGCCAUGAAUUGUGAUUGAUCACAAGCUGUGCUCUGGCACCAGCAAGUCACUGACAUUGUCUUCAUCACAGUCUUUAUCACAGCCAUGGCCACUGCGGCACCUCUUGGGCAGGAUGUGGACCCAGCUGACCCAGAGGUACAGGCCUGUGUUGCCUUCGGCAUCAAGAGCUUCAACUUCCACAGCCAGACUCAUCAGCUCCACAACAUUACCAAGUUCCACUCUGUCCACAGAGAGGAGGUCGGUGCAGGUCAGUACGAUAUUGAUGUGGAGGUGAGAGGUUGCCAGUCCUCCUUCUGUUCUCCAGACAAUUCCAACACCCAGAUUUUCCGUUGUCAUUUUGUCAUUGUGACUGCUCCUUGGAAGAAGCAGUUGAUUCUGAUCAACAGCACCUGUACUCCAGUGUCUUAGAAUGGACAGGAACUACUGUCUAUGUGCAACUACACACAUAUGUGUAAAAAAAAAACACACUUAGCAUGUGUCAAUUGAAUCGUCAAACUAUGUAUGCAUUGUGUGAGGUUGUUGCUUAUAUCAGACAUGCACUAUUUGACCGAGAAAGCUAACAGACGCUAACAAACACCUUUUUAAUCAGAAUUUAACCUAACACUAAUUAUUUUCAUGUUCGAAAGAAUGGAGUUAUUUGUAAGAAUAAAAUCAAUGUGAUUACUGGAGUACUGAUUAGAUUGUUGUGUGGUUUUCUUAUAGAUUGUCUAAUCUACUGUUUAAUAUGUUGAUCGACUCUGGUGCCAGUGAAAUUGAAUUAGGGGCUCGAUUCGAUGUGUGGUAAACGCUGCAUAUGUCUGUUCAAUUGGAAAUUACCUUUAAAAGGUGACUGCAUGUCCUGAUUUUGCCUCCCUUUUAGAUUUGUGUCAUUAAUUAAAGGAUGCUAGCGGCCAUG
ensembl:lncRNA